UAACUAGACAGAGAAGAAAACAAAGAUGUUACUGUAGUAAAACCACCUACUGUAUGUCCAAGACUAAAGAGUUUUAGCAUAAAUAUUUCAGCAAAUUCUUUACAACGGUUUUGAAGUAUGGUUCAACAGCUCAAACAGGAAUCCAUUCCCUAAAGAACCCAGAAGCCAGAUCUUGUAAGAAUCUCAAGUAAUUUGCAACAAAAUGAUCAAAACCUCUGCUUUUGGGACAGAGCAAAGGAGAAAAAUGUAUCUGUUGAAAAAAAAAAAAAGGCACAAAGACAAACCCGCCAACAAACAGGUUGUUGGGUGGCCUGCCCAGCUCGGAGCGGCAGAGGCCUGGCCACGGGCAGUGUCACCCCAGGAAUGUCCCAUGAGGCCCUGGGCAGCGCCAUGAUCCUCCAUGUGACCGUAAGUGCACAUUUUAAGCACAGUCGGGAAAUCCCAUGGCGAGCCUGAUAAAACAUGGUUUUAAAUGAGCGUCCCCGGUGUGCCAGCCUGGUACGAACAGCGCUCCCCAAGUACUGCCGUGGGCCUGGCGCGUGUGGACACGAAGCAGAGCGCGGCCACGCUGGGGGUAUGGACAACGGCAGAAGACAGGUCUCACGUCACGUGUGAACCAAAACCAGCAUUUCUCAGCUCAUCUUCCACUUUACCUGGCCCCAAGUGACUCCUGCUUCCAAAAAUCAAAUCCACUCUCAACUGAAAAAGAUCCUGGGGAUACUGCAAAGGAUGAGUCACAGCCUCUGAAGGAAAUUCGAAAGAGGAGCUCCAAAAAUAUUCUGCGGCAUGGCAGUGCCUCGGAGAGCGCGGAGGCUCCCGGGACGAGGGCUCCGAAGGAAGACACUCUCCUUUGGCGUACAGCAGUUCUGAGCAAGCUGUCAGCAUCUUUUCGUGGCCAUCGCUGGACAUGCACUUUACACUGUUUGUUCACUGAAUGAGAACCAGAGAACACCUGGACCCUUAAAGAAUCACAUUAAUAAAAACAGGCUGGGAGUGAGAGCCUGAGGCUGUUUAAAGAAAGACAGAGUAGGACUUUGGUGCUGGAGCUUGUCACACCUGUUUCUAGGGUUUUGUUUUUUAAUCUGAUUUCAGAUUUGGGUCUGUGUGAGGCUGGGGUUACAGGAGAUCUGACUUCUGCAUAAGCUACCUACAAUGGUACUUCAAAACGUUUGUGGAAGAGAGAAUUAAAGGAUAAGUUUGUUUUGAUGUAAA